rnacentral:lncRNA from 1 species
GGUGUUUCUCUUUCUGACUUACUUCACUCUGUAUAAUAGGCUUCAGUUUCCUCCAUCUCAUUAGAACUGACUCAAAUGCAUUUUUUUAAUAGCUUCGCAAUGUGUUCUUUUUUUAACAGCUAAAUAAUAUUACAUUCUGUAUAUGUACCACAACUUCCACAUAUGUAUCUUUUUAAAUCAGCAAAUUACCUAAAAAAAAAAAAAUUCUUUAAAAAUCCUCAAGAGAUUUAGAAAUGGACAAAUUACAUGGACAACUGCAACUUUUUUGUAGAGCAACUCAAGUGGACAAUGUCCAGGAAAGAGCUUGACCUCACUGUGAGAGAGUUACAACGGUUACAAAUGCAUGCACAGUCCACCCCAAAGGAGUGGUGAUACUAGGUUCACGGGAACAAACACGGCCGACGUAAUUCCACGGGUAGGCAGUUGACCACCCUGAGCAGAGUCAGGGUACCCAGAUACAGGCCCUGGAUCCUACCACCCGGACUGCCUGGGAGGCCCACUGCAUACGCGUGAGCGCGUGAGCCCUGGCUGCACGUCAGAGUCAGAAUUGCUGCUCUAGGAUGCGGUACAGCAAACACUCUUGGGUCUCCUUCCUUGUCCACCAAACGCAAGCAUUCCUCUUGAGGGAGGGUGUGUCUCCGUUCUGGGGGCCUGUUAGACUCUCCCAAAGGGUUCUUCACAAACCACAAAAUCCAGUCAUCCAUCAUCUGGUGAAUCACAUUUCGGUGGUCAGGAGAGGUCUGACCAAGGAAUCCAGGCAACCCGGUAGGUUUUCCCCGGGGAACUCUCGAAAAUCUUGAGACCCAGAAUGCAAUCCCCAAAUCUCGGAUUUGGGCUCCAUGUAUCUUGCACAAAGAAAUGACAGCAUUGUGGACAAAUGACACCACGUCCGUGGUGGUCCAGUGGUUAAGAAUCCGUCUUCCUACGCAAGGGACAUGGGUGUGAUCCCUGGUCAGGGAACUAAGAUCUCACAUGCUGCAGACAACUAAAGUUGUGAGCUGCAACUACUGAGUCCAGGCACCACAACUAGAGAGAAGCCAAAUAAAUAAACACUUCUUUAAAAAUUUACAGUAUCGCAUAGUAGUGAGACGCCUGCAAGAAACUCAAGUGUUCGUUGAUAGGAUAAUGCAUCUGUGUGUGUGAGUCAGUCAGUCGUGUCCGACUCUUUGCAACCCCAUAGACGGUAGCCUGCCAGGCUCCUCUGUCCGUGGGAUUCUCCAGGCAAGAAGACUGGAGCGGGUUGCCAUUCCCUUCUCCAGGGGAUCUUCCCGACCCCAGGGAUUGAACCCAGGUCUCCUGCAUUGCAGGCACGUUCUUUACUGUCUGAGCCACUAUUAUGGGGAGCCCAUAAUUGGAUAAUGCCUAAGUAUAUCAUGCACGUGUAAGAAAAUCUAUCUGACACUGAAAAUUAACGAAUUUAUACCCUCGUGUCACAGCAUGACUGAAACUCAAACACAAUUUUGCAGAAAAGGCAAACACGCGAGAAUAGGGAUACUAUGAUGUCAUUUCCAUAACAUAAGCACGUUGAGCCAUACUUGCGUAUUGUUUACAGAUGCCCAUGCACAAUAAAAGCGUAACAGCUCAUAAGGGGGUAAUAAAGACCACAAAAAGAUUGUUAAUGAUGUGUGGGGAGGGCAGGAGGGGCUGGAGGACUGGGACCAAUCCACCUGGUCGAUGACUCUGUCUAUAACACUUUAAAAACAUCUACAACAAAUGAGGUGAAAUAUGAAGGCUAAGGGCAAGGUGCAAAACUGUUCAUCAGAACAUUCCUUAUCCUCUUCGUGUUAAAAAUGACUUCAAGAUUGGACAAUAAACAGGAACGAAAAUAUAACCAACAAGACAGCGGCAGAGCAAACACCCAUACCUAGGUUCUACCACCAAAGUUGUUAUUCUUGUGUUCUUUUAUGAAGGAUUUUCUUCUUUCUCCAGGCUUAACUUUAUAUCCUGACUCUGAUUGUUUUUCUAAGUCUUCUAUCUUCCUUCCUAAAAUUCCUUCCCUU